ensembl:misc_RNA Y_RNA Y RNA
GGCUGGUCCGAUGGCAGUGGGUUAUCAGAACUUAUUAACAUUAGUGUCACUAAAGUUGGUAUACCACCCCCCCACUGCUCAAUUGGACUUUAA